ACACAAACACAAACCAAAUCAAAUUCAAAAUAUAAUGUUAAGUCCAAUUAUACAGUCCAAAGUAAAAAAAUGCAAAAAAAUAAAUCCUAUUCUAACAUAUACUAAACUAUGCUCCAACGUUUUACCCGCGGCCUUGGGCCUUCAUUACGAACAUCCUCCGGAUACAAAAAUACCUUGGGGCAUUCCCCGGCCAAAUGAUACAAGUGAUCCCAAAGCAAUAUAGUCAAAAACCAUUCAAUCACACCACUCAAGUAUUCCAUCAAUCCACAAUCCCUAAAUUUGUCUACCCGACCUAUGUUUACCUAUCUGAGCUUGAUCCCAUUCAUGUAUAUCCCGAAUUGAACAAAACGACAACCGAUCAAAAUUUAACUACGCAACUUUUAUCAAAUUUUGAUUCCACCCCAAAUCCAUUUUUAACCACAUGAUUAAAGCAUGCUUCAAUUAUCCAAUCACGUCUCAAAAUCCGAAACUAAUAUCAAAUACAAAAAACUAAUGAAGAUUCGAACUAAGCACACAACACAUAAAUCACACACACCCAUAACAUCAAUAAAAAAUCAAGAUAAAGUAAAGAUUAGGAGAAGAAAUGGACCUCAAUGAAACUUUUCCUUGUUGAUAAUAAAAAAAUCCAAAAUCAAAAUCCUCAAACCGGAACCUCAACACGAAUCUCCAAAUCAAAUUUCAAAUUCGAAAUUGACAGCGAUGGACCGAUUGAGUUGAACAAAGUUCCAAUCCACGAAUACUAACCAUUUAAUCGUGAAGACCCCAAAAUCCGAUAUUUAAAACGAACUGCGAGAAUAGACUAACCUAAAACCAAGUCAACACGAUAGAAGAACAAAAUCCGUGAACCCUGAGCUCCGGUGAGCUCAGGCGGUGGCAAAAAAAUGAUGAGUCAAGACGGAUUCUGGCGAGUCCCAACGUUUUCUGGCCGGGUUUGCCCAUUUUCAAUCACUUCCCCCUUUCUGCUAUGUCCCUCGCAUCUCUUUUCUCUACCUAACACUCUCUCGAUUUGGAUUCUCUGAUCUCUCUCCCUGUCCGUUCCAAUCUCUCCCUAAAAAUAGAAAAUUUGGCGUUUGUGCGUGUAUGUAUAUUACUGUGUGCGUGAGUCUACUCCCUCCUAAGUAACCAUGGAACAAUUGAGGUGAGGGUCAUGAUUUUUGUGGUAAGGUUGAGUGGUGUUUUACGUACCAAUUCCAAGAAAUGGAGUGUUCCUUCAGAUGAUGAAGAAGAGGCAACCCCCGCCAAAAAAAAAAAAAUCCCCUCUAUGUUCUCGUUAAUAAAGGUGUAUGUGUACAAGAGAAUGGUUAUGAUGAUGUGG
rnacentral:lncRNA from 1 species